UCCUCCUUACAGAGGCAGUUUGUUUCGAGUUCCCGGCAUGACCCGCUGGUAACAAAACAUGAGGGUUGCGCUCGUUGCGGGACUUAACCCAACAUUUCACAACACGAGCUGACGACAGCCAUGCACCACCUGUGCUACACCCUCGAAGGCGACUGCUUUUCGGCAGCUUGCAGUAGCAUGUCAAGCCCUGGUAAGGUUCUUCGCGUUGCAUCGAAUUAAGCCACAUGCUCCACCGCUUGUGCGGGCCCCCGCCAAUUCCUUUGAGUUUCAACCUUGCGGCCGUAGUCCCCAGGCGGUUCACUUAAUGCGUUAGCUGCGGCACCGAGGGAAACCCCCGACACCUAGUGAACAUAGUUUAGGGCCAAGACUAC
rnacentral:misc_RNA from 1 species